AUGAACGCUGGCGGCGUGCCUAAUACCUGCAAGUCGAGCGAACAGACGAGGAGCUUGCUCCUCUGACGUUAGCGGCGGACGGGUGAGUAACACGUGGAUAACCUACCUAUAAGACUGGGAUAACUUGGGAAACCGGAGCUAAUACCGGAUAAUAUAUUGAACCGCAUGGUUCAAUAGUGAAAGACGGUUUUGCUGUCACUUAUAGAUGGAUCCGCGCCGCAUUAGCUAGUUGGUAAGGUAACGGCUUACCAAGGCAACGAUGCGUAGCCGACCUGAGAGGGUGAUCGGCCACACUGGAACUGAGACACGGUCCAGACUCCUACGGGAGGCAGCAGUAGGGAAUCUUCCGCAAUGGGCGAAAGCCUGACGGAGCAACGCCGCGUGAGUGAUGAAGGUCUUCGGAUCGUAAAACUCUGUUAUUAGGGAAGAACAAAUGUGUAAGUAACUAUGCACGUCUUGACGGUACCUAAUCAGAAAGCCACGGCUAACUACGUG
rnacentral:rRNA from 1 species